rnacentral:rRNA from 1 species
UAUUGCACAAUGGGCGCAAGCCUGAUGCAGCCAUGCCGCGUGUAUGAAGAAGGCCUUCGGGUUGUAAAGUACUUUCAGCGGGGAGGAAGGCAACAAGGUUAAUAACCGUGUUGAUUGACGUGACCUGCAGAAGAAGCAGCGGCUAACUCUGUGCCAGCAGCCGCGGUAAUACGGAGGGUGCAAGCGUUAAUCGGAAUUACUGGGCGUAAAGCGCACGCAGGCGGUCUGUUAAGUCAGAUGUGAAAUCCCCGGGCUUAACCUGGGAACUGCAUUUGAAACUGGCAGGCUUGAGUCUCGUAGAGGGGGGUAGAAUUCCAGGUGUAGCGGUGAAAUGCGUAGAGAUCUGGAGGAAUACCGGUGGCGAAGGCGGCCCCCUGGACGAAGACUGACGCUCAGGUGCGAAAGCGUGGGGAGCAAACAG